ACAUUUUUCCAGGGUGCAUCAGCAUUUGGUGAGGGGAUUCUUUGACAGUGCAUGUAAAAUGCUGAAAGUAAAUGGAGAAGUUCAUGUGACUCACAAGACCUCACAUCCAUACAAUGAGUGGGAGAUAGUGAAGUUAGCAAAAGAAUCUGGGUUAUAUCUGGUUGAGGAAGCAUCAUUUUCAACGAGGGAUUAUCCCGGUUAUAUGAACAAGAGAGGAAGUGGGAAGACAGGGGAUGUGUAAUAUUGCAUGGGGUAAUCAAGUAAGUCUAAACAGAAUUGAUCAAGAUAUGAACUGUCGUAAUCAAAUUGACUGUCGAUUUGGACAACACAUUGUGCAGUAAGAGGAUGAUUAGAAGCAAAUGAAAUAACAUCUUAUUCAAGGUUUAUAGUGCCUCGAACAUUUUCACAUUUUUAGCAAAUCGCUAUCCAAAGUGUUGGUGGGAUCAUUCCCCAACACAAAGGGUUUUUGAUUGUUCAAAAGUGCAUUAGCACUUCAAAGUGCACUCCAAUUCAGGCCUUUGUGCAAGGUUUCUCCAUAUUGAUCUAAACUGAAAAUAGCAAAAUAAAAUGUUGCAACAUGAAUUUUUCUCACAUUGUUUUGUUGAAGUGAAGAAGGGUCAUAAUAAUCGGAUCGUUGACAUUUUUCCAGGGUGCAUCAGCAUUUGGUGAGGGGAUUCUUUGCCUGUGCAUGUAAAAUGCUGCAAGUAAAUGGAGAAGUUCAUGUGACUCACAAGACCUCACAUCCAUACAAUGAGUGGGAGAUAGUGAAGUUAGCAAAAGAAUCUGGGUUAUAUCUGGUUGAGGAAGCAUCAUUUUCAACAAGGGAUUAUCCCGGUUAUAUGAACAAGAGAGGAAGUGGGAAGAAAUGCAACCAAACAUUUCAUGUUGGACGGUGUAGCACCUACAAAUUUGCCAAGCUGCCGCUUCAGGAAUUUUCGUUCACCACAUUAUAUGAUUCUUAAUAGCAAAUGAUUGGACUUGGGCCUUGUUUGGUUUGAAAAAAAAAAUGAAAAAAAAAGGAAAAUUUCAGUUUACUCUUUUGAACUUUAGGUUUAAAAUCAGUCUGAUACCUUAUUUUUUUUUUUAAUAAGACUCAUCCCUAAACUUUCAAAAUGAUAUUAAUCUCGACUAAAAUUUGAAUCUCGUAUUAAACAUGACGUCAUACGCUGAUGUGGAGCAGACAAGGUUGGUCCACAUUAUUAUUUUAUAUUUUUAACAAAAACUUUAUUUGGAGAAUUGGUAUCAAAAGACGUUGUCUCCUCUUCGAUCUAUAGACUCGUCUUCUCCAAAGUGCAGAGUCGUCUUCUCCUCUUCUACAUACUCGUCUUCCCCAAACAAAUUUCGCCGGAGACCCAAAGCCGCCAACUAAAUCUCUUUGUCUUCCCUUCUUCUCUUGUUCUCUGUAUUUCAGAAAAGAGGUCUUCCCUUCUUCUAUUGUUCUCUGUAUUUCAGAAAAGAGAAGGUGAAACCCAGACUCGUUUUGCUGGAGACGACGAAGACCGAGAUUGGGUAUCUUCACACUUCUAUUCUCAAUACCCAAAGCAGUCAAGUGAACCCAGUGCUCAUGUUUCAUUUUAAGCUUUACCGAUUUCGUUUUGUGAAUUGCUAUGUCAACCGAUGUCUUAUGGGUUUGUAUGUUUGCAUGUCAAAACAUUGCUUUGAACCACAUGGGAGAAUUUCUGAUAUUGCAAGUGGCCAAUUUGAUGUUUAGUUACUGCUUUCCAUUUAUUUUCUUUUGUGGCAUUUGUGAUCAUAUGUAAGGCAUCUGGGUAAGGUGAAGGUCUCUUGCUGGGCAAAGGUCCAUGCACACAACAAGGGUCACUGGCAUCUGGGUAAGGUGAAGCAGUAACGAGAAGAUUUGGUCGGUGGCUUUGGGUCUCCGGCGAAACGAGUAUGGGUUUGAUGGGAGUCUUAAGAGGAGAUGACGUCUUGGCUUAUCAAUUCCCAAAUAAAAAAUGAUAAAAAUGAUUAAAAUACAAAUAAUAAUUUUUGUUUAAUUAAACAUCAUCAUCUCCUCUUUACAUAUAUAUAUAUAUAUAAUAAUUUCUCAAAUAAAAUUUUGUUAAAAAUAUAAAAUAAUAUUGUGGGCCAACCUUGUCUGCUCCACAUCAGCCUAUGAUGUCAUGUUUAGUGCGAGAUUUAAAUUUUAGUCGAGAUUGAUGUCAUUUUGAAAGUUUAGAGAUGAGUCUGAAUUAAAAAAAAGAUAAGGUAUCAGACUGAUUUUAUACCUAAAGUUAAGGGGAGUAAACUGAAAUUUUUCCAAAAAAGAAUAUAUUUUCUUUCUAUUUCCUUCCUUAACGGAAAUGAAACUUUCUAAGAACUUUACAUCCCUAUGUUUGGUAACAUAAGGAGAAAGAAAGCGGUUCAUUUCGAUUUUGAAUUGAAUCGUUUUUCUUGAAGGAAACACUUUCCCUCACUUGCUAAAAGGAAAGUGGUUCCGAUGUAUGGAAGCAUUUCCUUUUCUUUUGCUUCCCUAAGCGUAGGAAAUGAACAACUAUCGUCAUUUCCUCAUGUUUUCCGCAAAACAAACGAGACCUUAUCUGCAACAGCAAAGUAAAUGGGUUUGUGGUCACGAUUAGUACAUGUUGAAGAAAUUUUUUCCUUAACAUUUUUGAAUUUGAUAUGGAAGAAUAAGAUUGAGGCACAUAAAAGCCUGAAAGGACCAAACAUUGUUCGAAUGGAUAAAGGACCAAACAUUGUUCGUUCACCACAUUAUAUGAUUAUUAAUAGCAAAUGAUUGGACUUGGGCCUUGUUUGGUUUGCGAAAAUGAAAAUAUUUCCUUUCUCUUUCCCAUGAGAAGAGAAAGAGAACGAAAAUGAAACUUUCUAAGAACUUUUCAUCCCUAUGUUUGGUUUGCGAAAAUGAAAAUAUUUCCUUUCUCUUUCCCAUGAGAAGAGAAAGAGAACGAAAAUGAAACUUUCUAAGAACUUUUCAUCCCUAUGUUUGGUAACAUAAGAAGAAGGAAAGCGGUUCAUUUCGAUUUUGGGUGGAACCGCUUUUCUUGAAGGAACCACUUUCCCUCACUUGCGGAAAGGAAAGUGGUUCCGAUGUUUGGAAGCGUUUCUUUUUCUUUUGUUUCCCUAAACGUAGAAAAUAAACGACUAUCAUUUCCUCAUGUUUUCCGCAAAACAAAUGAUGCCUUGUAUGCAAUAACAAAGUAAAUGAGUUUGUGGUCACGAUUAGUACAUGUUGAAGAAAUUUUUUUCCUUAACAUUUCUGAAUUUGAUCAUAUGGAAGAAUAAGAUUGAGGCACAAAAACACAUGAAAGGACCAAACAUUGUUCGAAUGGAUAAAGGACCAAACAUUGUUCAUUCACCACAUUAUAUGAUUAUUAAUAGCAAAUGAGUGGACUUAGGGCUUGUUUGGUUUGCGAAAAGGAAAAUAUUUCCUUUCUCUUUCCCAUGAAAAGGAAAAUAGAACAAAAAUGAAACUUUAUAAGAACUUAUUUAUUAAAAAAAAAAAAAUACUGGAACUUUUCAUCCCUAUGUUUGGUAGCAUAAGGAGAAGAAAAGCGGUUCAUUUCGAUUUUGGAUGAAACUGCUUUUCUUGAAGAACCAAUUUCCCUCACUUGUGGAAAGGAAAAUGGUUCCGAUGUUUGGGAGCAUUUCUUUUUCUUUUGCUUCCCUAAAGGAACAACUAUCAUUUCCUUAUGCUUUCUGCAAAACAAAUGAGGCCUUGUAUGCAAUAGCAAAGUAAAUGAGUUUGUGGUCACGAUUAGUACAUGUUGAAGAAUUUUUUUUCCUUAACAUGCAUUUCUGAAUUUGAUGCGGAAGAAUAAGGUUGAGGCACAGAAAAACCUGAAAGGACCAAACAUUGUUUGAAUGGAUAAAGGACCAAAGUUGAGGGGUAAGGCAAUAUAUGAAACUACGAAAGUGGUUACUGUUUUAAGUAACCUGUCCUUUGGUAGUCUGUACUGAAGUCUUGGUCUUUCACUUAACCUAUAAAUUAAUGAUGCCAAAUAUUCUUUGCUUUUUUUUUUUUUGGAAUUUCUUUGCUUAGUGUAUGGUACGACUGUCGGUGCUUUGUGUUGCUUUAGUGCAUUUAUGUCAAUAUCUGGACGUCCAUGUCUUCAACAAAAUCAAGUGACAUUCACUGAGUAUGUUACUAAAGCAUAACUGAAGCGUCAUCAUGGUUCUUAUUCAAACAUCAAAUGUUAGAAGAUACACUUAUAAUAGAAAUAGAGAAAUGCACACAGAUUUUGUCCUCAAGAGUAGGAAAUUUAAAAGAACACACUCUGAAAAAACUAAACAAGAGAAACGGGUGGCGCAUUACAGCAGCAAACGGAAGAUACUGUUAGUGGGUGAGGGUAACUUCUCUUUUGCUUCUUGUUUGGCUAAAGGAUUUGGCUCUGCUAAGAACAUGGUUGCCACUUCCCUCGACUCCAGAGGUAAUAUUAGUAUUGAUAGGGUAGAAAUUCUGUAUCAACUGUAAUACAGCAAAAUAUAUAUUUCAGUCUUUAAGACUAAAAUGCUUCGGAUUGAUGCUAAUUGCAGAGUCAGUAUUGGCCAAGUAUUCAAAUGCAGCACCAAGAAACUUAACAGAAUUGGAGGACAUGGGAUGUGUUAUACUGCAUGAGGUGGAUGUACACAUAAUGAGGCAGCACCCUCUCCUACUCGAUCAACUGUUUGAUCGUAUAGUCUUUAACUUUCCUCAUGCUGGUUUCAAUUUUAUGGAAAACCAGAAGAGCCAGAUCAAGUAAGUCUGAAAAAUAUUUACAUGGUAAUGUAUGUUUCUUGUCAAUAUACGAUAUAUAACUAGUGUUUUAUCUUGGGACACUGUCAAUUUGGAUCAUGCUUCAAGAAAUUUGUUAGAAGACUUUUAACGAAUUUUGAACUCUGCAAAUCACUACUAAAUUUGUCUGAAAGCACUUCCGGCAAUUCUAAAAGCACUAACAAACAGGCCCUCAAACAAGACUUCACCUUAUCAGAAGUCCCACCUGGAAACUGCAACACGAGUAUCAUGUAUUAUUAUUAUUUUUAUUUAUUUAUUUUGUUUGUUUUUCAGGUUGCAUCAGGAUUUGGUGAGGAGAUUCUUCGACAGCGCAUGUGAGAUGUUGAAAGAAAGUGGAGAGGUUCAUAUCACUCACAAGACCUCACAUCCUUUCAGUAGAUGGGAAAUAGUGAAGUUAGCAGAAGAGGUUGGGUAAUGUCUGGUUGAGGAAGCCUCGUUUUCCAGAGGCGAUUAUCCAGGUUAUCUAAACAAG
rnacentral:lncRNA from 1 species